UGGGGAAUAUUGCACAAUGGGCGCAAGCCUGAUGCAGCCAUGCCGCGUGUGUGAAGAAGGCCUUCGGGUUGUAAAGCACUUUGAGCGGGGAGGAAGGCGAUAAGGUUAAUAACCUUGUCGAUUGACGUUACCCGCAGAAGAAGCACCGGCUAACUCCGUGCCAGCAGCCGCGGUAAUACGGAGGGUGCAAGCGUUAAUCGGAAUUACUGGGCGUAAAGCGCACGCAGGCGGUUUGUUAAGUCAGAUGUGAAAUCCCCGGGCUCAACCUGGGAACUGCAUCUGAUACUGGCAAGCUUGAGUCUCGUAGAGGGGGGUAGAAUUCCAGGUGUAGCGGUGAAAUGCGUAGAGAUCUGGAGGAAUACCGGUGGCGAAGGCGGCCCCCUGGACGAAGACUGACGCUCAGGUGCGAAAGCGUGGGGAGCAAACAGG
rnacentral:rRNA from 1 species